rnacentral:rRNA from 1 species
GACGAACCGUGCGAACGUUGUUCGGAAUCACUGGGCUUAAAGGGCGCGUAGGCGGCUCGCGAGGUCCGGGGUGAAAUCCUCCGGCUUAACCGGAGAAUUGCCUGGGAUACUGGCGGUCUUGAGGGAGGUAGGGGCACGCGGAACUUCCGGUGGAGCGGUGAAAUGCGUUGAUAUCGGAAGGAACGCCGGUGGCGAAAGCGGCGUGCUGGCCCUCUUCUGACGCUGAGGCGCGAAAGCCAGGGGAGCGAACGGG